UCCGGUUGAUCCUGCCGGACCCGAUUGCUCUUUGGGUGAGAAUAAGCCAUGCGAGUCGAAUGGGAUACCUAAAUUUCCCAUGGCAGACUGCUCAGUAACACAUGAUCAACUUACCCUAUAGAAAAAGAUAACCUCGGGAAACUGAGGAUAAUAUUUUAUAGUUGAAUAGGCUUGGAAAAGUUUUUCAAUAAAAGGGAUAAGGAAAAUGGUUCUUAUCUGCUAUAGGAUAGGAUCGUGGACGAUUAUGGUUGUUGGUGAGGUAACGGCUCACCAAGCCGAUAAUCGAUAGGGGCCGUGAGAGCGGGAGCCCCGAGAUGGGUACUGAGACAACGACCCAGGCCUUACGAGGCGCAGCAGGCGCGGAACCUCCGCAAUACACGAAAGUGUGACGGGGUUACCCAAAGUGUUCAAUUCUGAACUGUGGUAGGUGAGUAAUGUCCCCUACUAGAAAGGAGAGGGCAAGGCUGGUGCCAGCCGCCGCGGUAAAACCAGCUCUUCAAGUGGUCGGGAUAAUUAUUGGGCUUAAAGUGUCCGUGGCCGGUUUAGUAAGUUCCUGGUAAAAUCGGGUAGCUUAACUAUCCGUAUGCUAGGAAUACUACUAUACUAGAGGGCGGGAGAGGUCUGAGGUACUACAGGGGUAGGGGUGAAAUCUUAUAAUCCUUGUAGGACCACCAGUGGCGAAGGCGUCAGACUGGAACGUGCCUGACGGUGAGGGACGAAAGCCAGGGGAGCGAACCGGAUUAGAUACCCGGGUAGUCCUGGCCGUAAACGAUGCAUACUAGGUGAUGGCACGGCCAUGAGCCGUGUCAGUGCCGUAGGGAAACCGUUAAGUGUGCCGCCUGGGAAGUACGGUCGCAAGGCUAAAACUUAAAGGAAUUGGCGGGGGAGCACCACAAGGGGUGAAGCCUGCGGUUCAAUAAAAGUCAACGCCGGA
rnacentral:rRNA from 1 species